GAUUGUUGGUGGUUGGCACUCCUGGCUUCCAGGAUGGGGUGAUACACAUUUAGCCAAGAUCAUCCCCAAGAAACAAUC
ensembl:sRNA